GACGAACGCUGGCGGCGUGCUUAACACAUGCAAGUCGACGGAAAGGCCCUGCUUGCAGGGUACUCGAGUGGCGAACGGGUGAGUAACACGUGGGUGAUCUGCCCUGCACUUCGGGAUAAGCCUGGGAAACUGGGUCUAAUACCGGAUAGGAGCCAUUUUUAGUGUGAUGGUUGGAAAGUUUUUUCGGUGUAGGAUGAGCUCGCGGCCUAUCAGCUUGUUGGUGGGGUAAUGGCCUACCAAGGCGGCGACGGGUAGCCGGCCUGAGAGGGUGGACGGCCACAUUGGGACUGAGAGACGGCCCAGACUCCGACGGGAGGCAGCAGUGGGGAAUAUUGCACAAUGGGCGCAAGCCUGAUGCAGCGACGCCGCGGGGGGGAUGACGGCCUUCGGGUUGUAAACUCCUUUCGCUAGGGACGAAGCUUUUUGUGACGGUACCUAGAUAAGAAGCACCGGCUAACUACGUG
rnacentral:rRNA from 1 species